rnacentral:rRNA from 1 species
UGGGGAAUAUUGCACAAUGGGCGCAAGCCUGAUGCAGCCAUGCCGCGUGUAUGAAGAAGGCCUUCGGGUUGUAAAGUACUUUCAGCGGGGAGGAAGGCGAUAAGGUUAAUAACCUUGUCGAUUGACGUUACCCGCAGAAGAAGCACCGGCUAACUCCGUGCCAGCAGCCGCGGUAAUACGGAGGGUGCAAGCGUUAAUCGGAAUUACUGGGCGUAAAGCGCACGCAGGCGGUCUGUCAAGUCGGAUGUGAAAUUCCCGGGCUCAACCUGGGAACUGCAUUCGAAACUGGCAGGCUAGAGUCUUGUAGAGGGGGGUAGAAUUCCAGGUGUAGCGGUGAAAUGCGUAGAGAUCUGGAGGAAUACCGGUGGCGAAGGCGGCCCCCUGGACAAAGACUGACGCUCAGGUGCGAAAGCGUGGGGAGCAAACA